GGGAAUUCGAUUGAGUUUGAUCAUGGCUCAGGACGAACGCUGGCGGCGCGCUUAACACAUGCAAGUCGAGCGAGAACCAGGCCUUCGGGCCUGGGGACAGCGGCGAACGGGUGAGUAACACGUGGGUAAUCAACCCUCGAUACUGGGAUAGCCCGGGGAAACCCGGAUUAAUACCGGAUGGCCCUUUGGAUUCUCGGAUCUGAAGGAAAAGGUAGCUUCGGCCUCCGAUCGAGGACGAGCCCGCGGCGGAUUAGCUUGUUGGUGAGGUAACGGCUCACCAAGGCGACGAUCCGUAGCUGGUCUGAGAGGACGAUCAGCCACACUGGGACAGAGACACGGCCCAGACUCCUACGGGAGGCAGCAGUGGGGAAUCUUGCGCUAAUGCGGGAAACCGUGACGCAGCGACGCCGCGUGAGGGGAAGAAGGCCUUCGGGUUGUAAACCUCUUUCAGGAGGGACGAAGCCACUCGGGUUAAUAGCCCAGA
rnacentral:rRNA from 1 species